rnacentral:tRNA from 1 species
CGGGAUGUAGCUCAGUGGUAGAGCAGUGGUCUUUUAAGCCAUGUGUCGCAGGUUCGAUUCCUGCCGUUCCGA